AUUGAACGCUGGCGGCAUGCCUUACACAUGCAAGUCGAACGGGAACGGGCCUUCGGGUGCCGACGAGUGGCGAACGGGUGUGUAAUACAUCGGAACGUGCCCGCUCGUGGGGGAUAACGAGGCGAAAGCUUUGCUAAUACCGCAUACGAUCUACGGAUGAACGCAGGGGCACGCAAGGCCUUGCGCGGGCGGAGCGGCCGAUGGCAGAUUAGGUAGGUGGUGCGAUACAAGCUUACCAAGGCGACGAACGGUAGCUGGUAUGAGAGGAUGAUUAGCCAGACUGCGUCUGAGACACGGCCGAGACACUUACGCGAAGCAGCAGCCGAGAAUCUUGCGCGAUGGGGCAAAGCCGGAUCCAGCAAAGCCGCGUGAAGCAUGAAGGAGCGCGGGUUGUAGACUGAUUAUGUACGUAACGAAAAGCAUUCUUUUAAGACAGGAGGGUAAUGACGGUACCGGACUAAUAAGCACCGGCUAACUACGUG
rnacentral:rRNA from 1 species